AUAUCCUCAUGUACCUGAGGUCUUUUGAAGGGACGCACUGGCAUUACUUACUUUGAGGCAAACUGUACCUGGAUGUUUGCAGAGGACUGAUGGGAGCUGCUGUGUGGCCUUCAGGGAGAUGCAGACAUCCUUUGAGCACACUUGUAUCUUCACAGCACAUCCUGGGGUUUAACCCACGCCAGUGGGACUCAAGAAGGAGGACCAUACACCUAUCCAUGCCAUCAGCCCCUCAGCUGCAUAGGCUCCUGUCCCAGCUGGGCAUCAGGUGCACGUGAUGGACAACGUGGUGUCAGCAGAGGUUCGUAGAUCUGACCAUGCUGUGUGAGGCACAGCUCUGUGCUCUCUGCCACAAGUGCUGCAUUGUUUGAGCCGAGGAAACAAAGGAAUGUGCUCGUGUGCUGUUCACACUCUGCUGGACCCUCGAACCAUAAGAACAACGCAUGGCCGGAUCCCUGUGUUCAGAUGCCCAGUUGAACUGAGAGGUAUUUCACUUAUGAGGACAAACGUUGGACGUAGAGAUAUGUGGACCGGAACCAGGCAGCGCCAAAUCCCUG
ensembl:lncRNA